rnacentral:rRNA from 1 species
GCAUAUCACUAAGCGGAGGAAAAGAAACCAACAGGGAUUGCCCAGUAACGGCGAGUGAAGCGGCAACAGCUCAAAUUUGAAAUCUGGUCCCCCAGGGCCCGAGUUGUAAUUUGCAGAGGAUGCUUUUGGUGAGGUGCCUUCCGAGUUCCCUGGAACGGGACGCCAUAGAGGGUGAGAGCCCCGUCUGGUUGGAUACCGAGCCUCUGUAAAGCUCCUUCGACGAGUCGAGUAGUUUGGGAAUGCUGCUCUAAAUGGGAGGUAUAUGUCUUCUAAAGCUAAAUAUUGGCCAGAGACCGAUAGCGCACAAGUAGAGUGAUCGAAAGAUGAAAAGCACUUUGAAAAGAGGGUUAAAUAGUACGUGAAAUUGUUGAAAGGGAAGCACUUAUGACCAGACUUGGCCCCGGUGAAUCAUCCAGCGGUUCCCGUUGGUGCACUUUGCCGGGGUUCAGGCCAGCAUCAGUUCGCUCCGGGGGAUAAAGGCUUUGGGAAUGUGGCUCCCUCGGGAGUGUUAUAGCCCAUUGCGCAAUACCCUGUGGCGGGCUGAGGUUCGCGCUUUAUGCAAGGAUGCUGGCAUAAUGGUCAUCAGUGACCCGUCUUGAAACACGGACCAAGGAGUCGUCUUCGUAUGCGAGUGUUCGGGUGUUAAACCCCUACGCGUAAUGAAAGUGAACGCAGGUGAGAGCCCUCCAGGGCGCAUCAUCGACCGAUCCUGAUGUUCUCGGAUGGAUUUGAGUAAGAGCAUACGGGGCCGGACCCGAAAGAAGGUGAACUAUGCCUGUAUAGGGUGAAGCCAGAGGAAACUCUGGUGGAGGCUCGCAGCGGUUUCUGACGUGCAAAUCGAUCGUCAAAUAUGGUCAUGGGGCGAAAGACUAAUCGAACCUUUCUAGUAGGCAGGGAUAUACAGCCGAAGU